CCGAGUUUACAACUCCCAAACCCAAUGUGAACGUUACCAAACUGUUGCCUCGGCGGGGUCACGCCCCGGGUGCGUAAAAGCCCCGGAACCAUGGCGCCCGCCGGAGGAACCAACCAGGCUCUUUCUGUAGUCCCCUCGCGGACGUAUUUCUUACAGCUCUGAGCAAAAAUUCAAAAUGAAUCA
rnacentral:misc_RNA from 1 species